AAAAAAUUAGUUAAAAUUUAUAACAUUAGUAUGUCAAACUAAAAUUAUUAUAACUAUAAUAUUUUUU
rnacentral:tRNA from 1 species